rnacentral:rRNA from 1 species
CAGUCGCCGCGGUAAUACAGAGGGUGCGAGCGUUAAUCGGAUUUACUGGGCGUAAAGCGUGCGUAGGCGGCUUCUUAAGUCGGAUGUGAAAUCCCUGAGCUUAACUUAGGAAUUGCAUUCGAUACUGGGAAGCUAGAGUAUGGGAGAGGAUGGUAGAAUUCCAGGUGUAGCGGUGAAAUGCGUAGAGAUCUGGAGGAAUACCGAUGGCGAAGGCAGCCUUCUGGCCUAAUACUGACGCUGAGGUACGAAAGCAUGGGGAGCAAACAGGAUUAGAGACCCCUGUAGUCCCUGUCUCUUAUAC